UGAGUAACACGUAUCCAACCUGCCGUCUACUCUUGGACAGCCUUCUGAAAGGAAGAUUAAUACAAGAUGGCAUCAUGAGUUCACAUGUUCACAUGAUUAAAGGUAUUCCGGUAGACGAUGGGGAUGCGUUCCAUUAGAUAGUAGGCGGGGUAACGGCCCACCUAGUCUUCGAUGGAUAGGGGUUCUGAGAGGAAGGUCCCCCACAUUGGAACUGAGACAUGGUCCAA
rnacentral:rRNA from 1 species